CGGGUGUAGUUCAAUGGUAGAACUUCAGCUUCCCAAGCUGACGGCGCGGGUUCGAUUCCCGUCACCC
rnacentral:tRNA from 2 species